UACGGAGGGUGCAAGCGUUAUCCGGAUUCACUGGGUUUAAAGGGUGCGUAGGCGGGCAGGUAAGUCCGUGGUGAAAUCUCUGAGCUUAACUCAGAAACUGCCAUGGAUACUAUUUGUCUUGAAUAUUGUGGAGGUAAGCGGAAUAUGUCAUGUAGCGGUGAAAUGCUUAGAUAUGACGUAGAACACCAAUUGCGAAGGCAGCUUACUACACAGUUAUUGACGCUGAGGCACGAAAGCGUGGGGAUCAAACAGG
rnacentral:rRNA from 1 species